GAUGAAGAACGUAGCGAAAUGCGAUAAGUAGUGUGAAUUGCAGAAUUCAGUGAAUCAUCGAAUCUUUGAACGCACAUUGCGCCCUUUGGUAUUCCAAAGGGCAUGCCUGUUCGAGCGUCAUUUGUACCCUCAAGCUUUGCUUGGUGUUGGGCGUCUUGUCUCUAGCUUUGCUGGAGACUCGCCUUAAAGUAAUUGGCAGCCGGACUACUGGUUUCGGAGCGCAGCACAAGUCGCACUCUCUAUCAGCAUAGGUCUAGCAUCCAUUAAGCCUUUUUUUCAACUUUUGACCUCGUAUCAGGUAGGGAUACCCGCUGAACUUAAGCAUAUCAAUAAGCGGAGGA
rnacentral:misc_RNA from 1 species